AGAGCCUCAGUGUCUGAAUGGUUCCAGUUCAGCUCCAUAACAGCAGCGUCCCUGGUUUGAUUCCUGUGUUUCAGCUCAUAUCUGCCUCUCUCACUGAGGGGGACGUCCACUACAUGGACAUAGAGCAGUUCUGUCCUCUGCCGUUGUACUGAUGAAGGAAACAUCUGUGCUGUGUCUGCUCUAGGAGGAUUCAGCUGCAGUCAACUCAACAGUGAGAACUGAAGACUUCAGUUAUGGACAAACAGCCAUCAGAACAAGGAGGCCCAGACUUUAAACCAGAGCCAGACGUCGUCU